CUCUUUUCAAUAGAAAAAUAAMGGCACAGGGAUAGGCGAAAGCAUCCCCUUAUGUGAUAACYGACGUUGAGGGACGAAGGCUUUGUGUAGCGAACAGGAUUAGAUACCCCCGUAGUCAAAGCAGAAAAUGAUGAAUGUCAUAGAUUAGAUAAAUAAGUUUNUUCUAUAAAUGAAAGUGUAAGCAUUCCACCUCAAGAGUAAUUUGGCAACAUUGGAACUGAAAUCAUUAGACCGUUUYUGAAACCAGUAGUGAAGUAUGUUGUUUAAUUUGAUGAUCCGCAAAAAACCUUACCMCAAUUUGAAUAUUUAUAUCUUUUAUUGUUUUUUUUUUAUUUUUCUUCUGAUUUUCAUUGUAUGAUUUUCUUCUUAUUCUAUAUGCAUGCACAUGCACAUGCAAAAGAAUAAGAAAAAAAAACAAUUGAUCAUUAUAUCAUAAUAAAAAGAGGCGAUAUGAUAUAUUUACAACGCGUUGCACGGCGGUCUUCAGUUAAUGUCGCGAGACUUCGGUUAGUUCCAUUAAAUKAAACGUAAACC
rnacentral:rRNA from 1 species